rnacentral:rRNA from 1 species
GACGAAGGGGGCUAGCGUUGUUCGGAAUCACUGGGCGUAAAGCGCACGUAGGCGGAUUCCUAAGUCGGUGGUGAAAUCCUGGAGCUCAACUCCAGAACUGCCUCCGAUACUGAGAGUCUCCGAGUCCGGGAGAGGUGAGUGGAACUGCGAGUGUAGAGGUGAAAUUCGUAGAUAUUCGCAAGAACACCAGUGGCGAAGGCGGCUCACUGGCCCGGUACUGACGCUGAGGUGCGAAAGCGUGGGGAGCAAACAGG